ACCCGCUGAACUUAAGCAUAUCAAUAAGCGGAGGAAAAGAAACCAACAGGGAUUGCCCUAGUAACGGCGAGUGAAGCGGCAACAGCUCAAAUUUGAAAUCUGGCGUCUUUGGCGUCCGAGUUGUAAUUUGCAGAGGGCGCUUUGGCAUUGGCAGCGGUCCAAGUUCCUUGGAACAGGGCGUCACAGAGGGUGAGAAUCCCGUACGUGGUCGCUAGCCUUUACCGUGUAAAGCCCCUUCGACGAGUCGAGUUGUUUGGGAAUGCAGCUCUAAAUGGGAGGUAAAUUUCUUCUAAAGCUAAAUACUGGCCAGAGACCGAUAGCGCACAAGUAGAGUGAUCGAAAGAUGAAAAGCACUUUGGAAAGAGAGUUAAAAAGCACGUGAAAUUGUUGAAAGGGAAGCGCUUGCAGCCAGACUUGCCUGUAGUUGCUCAUCCGGGUUUUUACCCGGUGCACUCUUCUAUAGGCAGGCCAGCAUCAGUUUGGGCGGUUGGAUAAAGGUCUCUGUCAUGUACCUCUCUUCGGGGAGAACUUAUAGGGGAGACGACAUGCAACCAGCCCGGACUGAGGUCCGCGCAUCUGCUAGGAUGCUGGCGUAAUGGCUGU
rnacentral:rRNA from 1 species